GAAGCCAGGAGCAGGCCUGGUCUGGGCUCCCAGGCGAUGGAACGCGUGUGGCGUGCGUGGGACGGACAGUCCGUAAAUGAGAACCAGCCAGACUCGCCGGGAGUCGCGGGUAUGGUAGUGUCCUGGCUCAGCAGGGCUGAGUGGGAGCAAGUGACGGUUUAUCUGUUCUGUGAUGAUCAGAAAUUGCAGCAAUACGCGCUGAACCGAAUUACAGUAUGGAGGAGCAGGUAAGGCGGCCGGGUCAGCCCUUUUGCUUGGGUGCUGGUGGUGUCUCACUACUUGUCGAGCUCCCCAACAGCCGUAUUUUCUAUAGCAUACCCUGAAAUUGCCUUAUGGUGCCUCUCUCCUAAGUACCUGAAGAAAAGUUGCAGCCAAGCUCCUGUACUCAUCCCAUGGAAGGAAAAAUAGGGUGUAUGUUCCAAUAUUUUUGUGUCUGUGAGGCUUACGUUUUACUUGUAAAACAGAGGGGGCCUGACCCGGGAGUAAAGGAGUAAGUUGAUAUGUUAGGGUGGCUUUCUGUUCCUGUUAGGGAUUGGACUGUCACCCUUUAGGUUAGAUUCAGGAUUGAGGUUUCUCAGUUCGUUUGAUGAGGGAAGGGGGUGGGGGAUAGGACUCGGCGAUUCUCUAGCUAAAUAGUUUGAAGGGGAGAGAAUGGACUGUGUCCACGCAACUGUUGAUGAAUGUAGCACUUAAGACGUACUGUGUACCCCAGCCAGCUUCUCAAUUCCUUUAUUACUGUUGAUCUCGGGGACUUUA
rnacentral:lncRNA from 1 species